rnacentral:lncRNA from 1 species
CAGGUCCAAACAGAACUCGGAACCCUGGAGUCACUGGGCACCACAGUCCAGCGACGGCUGCCUAACAGUCACUUGGCUGGAGAGAGUCAGCAGCAACUCAUGCUGUGCUGCUUUCCCAGGCCUUGAAGCUGCAGCAACAGGACCCUGCGCAGGGAAAGCACUUGGGCGUCCUCCUUUUUUGUCCUCCACUUCUUGGUGGAGCUGCACUCCCAGGAGAAUCCACCAGCUGAACUCCUGGCCCAGCUGGAGCAAGCUGAGUCCACUGAGGCACAGCCCACGGGAUCAGCUCCAGCCCCAGCUGAAGUCCCACGUGCGGAGCCCGAGCCAGCUCCACCUGCAGCUUCCUGCCCAGGCUGGGACCACAGCCAGAGUCCGUGGCAGCCUCUUCACCUGCUGCAGUGCUGGGGCACCCGGUGGUUGCACGGCAGUCGGUGUCAUCUCCUGAGCUCCACCUGGGGCCAGCUCCUGGCCCCCUCCCACUGUUUCCCUCACUUAUGCUGGCUCUUGUUUUGGUAUUUCUUGGAUUUAUAUAAAUAAUAGAACUAGCUUUUAAUAAAACUUAAAAUUUUAGUGUUUAAAAGGG